AAAACUUUAAGUUAAAUAAACUAAUAGCCUUCAAAGUUAUAUAUAUAAGAUCUAUUCUCCUUAUAAGUUUUA
rnacentral:tRNA from 1 species